UACAGAGGGUGCGAGCGUUAAUCGGAAUUACUGGGCGUAAAGGGCGCGUAGGCGGUUGGAUAAGUCAGCUGUGAAAACCACGGGCUUAACUCGUGGCCUGCAGUUGAGACUGUCUGGCUUGAGUGUGGGAGAGGAGAGUGGAAUUCCUGGUGUAGCGGUGAAAUGCGUAGAUAUCGGGAGGAACACCAGUGGCGAAGGCGGCUACCUGGCCCACUCUUGACGCUGAGGCGCGAAAGCUAGGGGAGCAAACGGG
rnacentral:rRNA from 1 species